UUUUUUUUUUUUUUGAGACAGAGUCUUGCUCUGUCGCCCAGGCUGGAGUGCAGUGGCGCAAUCUCGGCUCACUGCAAGCUCCGCCUCCCAGGGUCACGCCAUUCUCCUGCCUCAGCCUCUCUGGUAGCUGGGACUACAGGUGCCCGCCACCACGCCCGGCUAAUUUUUCGUAUUUUUAAUAGAGACGGGGUUUCACCAUGUUAGCCAGGAUGGUCUCGAUCUCCUGACCUUGUGAUCUGCCCGCCUCGGCCUCCCAAAGUGCUGGGAUUACAGGCUUGAGCCACCGCGCCCGGCCAAGAAGUUGACAUUCUUUCUUAAGGCUUGUAUGAAUAAAAACAGAUGACUUCCCCUCAUAGUUAAACAGAACUGACACGUACUGGUGGCUCCUGGCCCAUGGCGCACACUGAGGAGGAACAACAAUAGUUACCACGAAAGGUGAUAACUGGUCCUUUUAGAAAGCUGUGGAAGUGGGCACUGGAAGAUGUGUUUGCCUCAGCUGCAGACGGGUGUGACACAUCAAGGGAGCCCUCCUGGCCCGUCCUGCCCUGUACCGAAUUUCACCUGGUGCUCACUCUCCCACAUCUUCUGCUUCAGGAAAGCCCACCACGCCUCUGUCUGGGAAGGCAGCCUAUUAUGCCAGCCCCAUAACCUUUCCUCUUGCCACUCCAUGUCCCCGCCCACUCCCACCUGGACACUUACAGGACUCCAGCACUGCCUCCUCCAAGAAGCCUUCCUGGACUCUGUCAGCCCACAUUGGGCUUGUUAACACUGAUUAUCUGAAGAAUUUGGGGUAUCACCUCAUGA